AGAGUUUGAUCAUGGCUCAGGACGAACGCUGGCGGCGUUAACACAUGCAAGUCAAGGGGGCCCAGCAAUGGGCAACCGGCGAACGGGUGCGUAACACGUGAGCAACCUACCGAACUGUGGGGGAUAGCCGGCCUAACGGCCGAGUAAUACCGCAUACGCCUUCAGUGAGGCAUUUCAUUGAAAGGAAACCUACGGGACAGAUCGAGGGGCUCGCGGCCUAUCAGCUAGUUGGCGAGGUAACGGCUCACCAAGGCAACGACGGGUAGCUGGUCUGAGAGGAUGGCCAGCCACAUUGGGACUGAGAUACGGCCCAGACUCCUACGGGAGGCAGCAGUGGGGAAUCUUGCGCAAUGGCCUAACGGCUGACGCAGCGACGCCGCGUGUGGGAUGAAGCUCCUCGGAGUGUAAACCACUGUUGCCCGGGACGAAUAGCUCGAUUAAUCGAGCCUGACGGUACCGGGUGAGGAAGCACCGGCUAACUCCGUGCCAGCAGCCGCGGUAAUACGGGGGGUGCGAGCGUUGUCCGGAAUCACUGGGCGUAAAGGGCGCGUAGGUGGUUUGAUAAGGGUGUGGUGAAAGUCCGGGGCUCAACCCCGGAUCUGCCGUGCCGACUGUCAAACUCGAGGGCUGUAGAGGCAGACGGAAUUCCGGGUGUAGCGGUGGAAUGCGUAGAGAUCCGGAGGAAGACCGGUGGCGAAGGCNNNCUGGGCAGUUUCUGACACUGAUNNNCGACAGCGUGGGGAGCAAACAGGAUUAGAUACCCUAGUAGUCC
rnacentral:rRNA from 1 species